rnacentral:rRNA from 1 species
UACGUAGGGUGCGAGCGUUGUCCGGAAUUAUUGGGCGUAAAGAGCUUGUAGGUGGUUUGUCGCGUCUGCUGUGAAAAUCCGAGGCUCAACCCCGGACUUGCAGUGGGUACGGGCAGACUAGAGUGUGGUAGGGGAGACUGGAAUUCCUGGUGUAGCGGUGAAAUGCGCAGAUAUCAGGAGGAACACCGAUGGCGAAGGCAGGUCUCUGGGCCACUACUGACGCUGAGAAGCGAAAGCAUGGGGAGCGAACAGG